UAGGGAAUAUUAGAAAGGGACGAAAGUCUGAUCUAGCAACACCGCGUGUGCGAAGAAGGCCUUCGGGUCGUAAAGCACUUUUUGGAAGGAAUAGGAAGGAAUAUACUUCCAGAAUAAGUCUCGGCUAACUACGUGCCAGCAGCCGCGGUAACACGUAGGAGGCAAACGUUAUCCGGAUUUACUGGGCGUAAAGCGCGUGUAGGUGGUAAUGUAAGUAGGGCGUGAAAGCUCCUGGCUCAACUGGGAGAGGCCGUUCUAAACUACAGAACUAGAGGAAGAUAGAGGGAGGUGUAAUUCCAGGUGUAGCGGUGGAAUGCGCAGAUAUCUGGAGGAACACCGGUGGCGAAGGCGGCCGCCUGGACAAUUACUGACACUCAGACGCGAAAGCUAGGGUAGCAAACGG
rnacentral:rRNA from 1 species